rnacentral:rRNA from 1 species
CACGUAGGGCGCAAGCGUUGUCCGGAAUUAUUGGGCGUAAAGAGCUCGUAGGCGGUCUGUUGCGUCCGCUGUGAAAACUCGGGGCUUAACCCCGAGCCUGCAGUGGAUACGGGCAGACUAGAGUGUGGUAGGGGAGACUGGAAUUCCUGGUGUAGCGGUGAAAUGCGCAGAUAUCAGGAGGAACACCGAUGGCGAAGGCAGGUCUCUGGGCCACUACUGACGCUGAGAAGCGAAAGCAUGGGAGCGAACAGG